AUGAUCGCCUUAGCCUGGAACUGCCGAGGAUUGGGGUUGGACUCGGCAGUGGGCGAACUACGAGACCUGAUUAGGUCAUACAACCCAGCGGUGGUGUUUUUAUCAGAAACAAAGAAGAGGUCAGGGGCGAUGGAGAGGCUCAAGUGGAGCAUGGGAUUCAGACAAGGGGUAGCGGUGGAUUGCAAAGGUAAAAGUGGGGGACUAGCACUAUGGUGGAGAGAUCACGUUGAUGUAACCGUGAGGCCGUGGUGCCAAUAUUAUAUAGAUGCUAAGAUCGUGUAUGAGGGAGUACCGUUUAGAUUCACUGGAAUCUACGGGGAACCUAGAGUUGAAAAGAGAACCAAGACUUGGGAUGUACUUCGGUACCUCCGAGCACAAGAUGAUCUGCCGUGGCUCUGCGCGGGGGACUUUAAUCGACAAAAUGAACAGCAGGGUGGUAACCCUAGGUCUCUAAACCAGAUGGCACUUUUCGAGGAAUACUUGUCUGACUACGGACUAGCUGAUUUGGGAUUCUCAAGAUACCCCUUUACUUGGGAUAAUAAACGGGAUGCGAACGACAAUAUCCAAGUUCAGCUAGACCGGGCGACAUGCAAUGCGGAAUUUGCGCAGAUUUUCCCAGCGGUCGAAGUGCAACAUAUUAUGACGGAGGAGUCGGAUCACCAAGCGCUACUUAUCAAAGCACUGACAACUCAUGGUGAGAAGAGGAGCUAG
rnacentral:rRNA from 1 species